CUGUCUGAAUAUGGGGGGACCAUCCUCCAAGGCUAAAUACUCCUGACUGACCGAUAGUGAACCAGUACCGUGAGGGAAAGGCGAAAAGAACCCCGGCGAGGGGAGUGAAAAAGAACCUGAAACCGUGUACGUACAAGCAGUGGGAGCACAGGUUUACCUGUGUGACUGCGUACCUUUUGUAUAAUGGGUCAGCGACUUAUAUUCUGUAGCAAGGUUAACCGWAUAGGGGAGCCGKAGGGAAACCGAGUCUUAACYGGGCGUUAAGUUGCAGGGUAUAGACCCGAAACCCGGUGAUCUAGCCAUGGGCAGGUUGAAGGUUGGGUAACACUAACUGGAGGACCGAACCGACUAAUGUUGAAAAAUUAGCGGAUGACCUGUGGCUGG
rnacentral:rRNA from 1 species